rnacentral:rRNA from 1 species
GUAUUAAAGGUCCUGCCUGCCCAGUGAAAAUUUCAACGGCCGCGGUAUCCUAACCGUGCAAAGGUAGCGUAAUCACUUGUCUUCUAAAUAAAGACCAGUAUGAAUGGCUAAAUGAGGACAAAUCUGUCUCCUACAACCAAUCAGUGAAACUGAUCUCCCGGUCAAAAAGCCGGGAUACCCACACAAGACGAGAAGACCCUGUGGAGCUUAAAAUUAUCUACUAACCAAACCACUAAGGACUCUAGUAUGAAUUUUAAGUUGGGGCGACUUCGGAACAAAGUAAAACUUCCGAGCACAGAAUCACCACUUCUAACUUAGGCAAACAGGCCAAAUCAAAAACAGACCCAGUACCACUGAUCAACGAACCAAGUUACCCCAGGGAUAACAGCGCCAUCUUCUUCAAGAGUCCAUAUCGACAAGAAGGUUUACGACCUCCGAUGUUGGAUCAGGGCACCCCAAUGGUGCAGCCGCUAUUAAAGGUUCGUUUGUUCAACGAUUAACAGCCCUACGUGAUCUGAGU